UUUAGGCCCAGAAGCUCAUACCCAAAUGACGAGGAGAUAUGCGGAAUGAAGAUUUCCAAACUCAUGUUCAAGAGUGGAAAAGACCGAAAUAGAUUCAAUCAGGUGUCCCGAUCAAGAGGAAACGGUUAGCUAGGCCGUUGGAAUCGUUACGGAGAUUCCCAAGGUACCCGAAACGGGCUGCCCCUCCAUGGAACAUCUACAUAAUGAUGGUGAGUGGCAUGUGACCAUCGAACGGCCUCAAAUUUCCCGGUGGUAGGAAGAACUGAAAUUGGUUUCCUGAAGAAAAGAAGGGGCACCGCACCCCCUCACGAGGUACUCAUAGAAGAGGCUCCACCCCCGGGGAGACUAUGAAAGGCCUUUAGUUGUUUUAUAAGAACCUUCCAACAUACUAUGCGCUACGCCUCUGAUUGCUAUGCCUCGGGUCCCAGAUC
rnacentral:lncRNA from 1 species